AUUGAACGCUGGCGGCAUGCCUUACACAUGCAAGUCGAACGGUAACAGGUUAAGCUGACGAGUGGCGAACGGGUGAGUAAUGUAUCGGAACGUGCCCAGUCGUGGGGGAUAACUGCUCGAAAGAGCAGCUAAUACCGCAUACGACCUGAGGGUGAAAGCGGGGGAUCGCAAGACCUCGCGCGAUUGGAGCGGCCGAUAUCAGAUUAGGUAGUUGGUGAGGUAAAGGCUCACCAAGCCGACGAUCUGUAGCUGGUCUGAGAGGACGACCAGCCACACUGGGACUGAGACACGGCCCAGACUCCUACGGGAGGCAGCAGUGGGGAAUUUUGGACAAUGGGCGCAAGCCUGAUCCAGCCAUGCCGCGUGAGGGAAGAAGGCCUUCGGGUUGUAAGCCGCUUUUGUCAGGGAAGAAAAGGUUCUGGCUAAUACCUGGGACUCAUGAUGGUACCUGAAGAAUAAGCACCGGCUAACUACGUG
rnacentral:rRNA from 1 species